GACGAACGCUGGCGGCGUGCUUAACACAUGCAAGUCGAACGGUGAAGCGCCUUCCUUUUUGGUGGGUGUGGAUGAGUGGCGAACGGGUGAGUAACACGUGAGUAACCUGCCCCCUUCUUCUGGAUAACCGCAUGAAAGUGUGGCUAAUACGGGAUAUUCUGGGUCUGUCGCAUGAUGGGUCUGGGAAAGAUAUUGUUUCGGUGGGGGAUGGGCUCGCGGCCUAUCAGCUUGUUGGUGGGGUGAUGGCCUACCAAGGCGGUGACGGGUAGCCGGCCUGGGAGGGUGGACGGUCACACUGGGACGGAGACACGGCCCAGACUCCUACGGGAGGCAGCAGUGGGGAAUAGUGCACAAUGGGCGCAAGCCUGAUGCAGCGACGCCGCGUGAGGGAUGGAGGCCUUCGGGUUGUGAACCUCUUUCGCCAGUGAAGCAGGCCUGCCUCGUUUGUGGGUGGGUUGACGGUAGCUGGAUAAGAAGCGCCGGCUAACUACGUG
rnacentral:rRNA from 1 species